rfam:Arabidopsis thaliana chromosome 1, complete sequence.
UUGCACUAUGUAUCGAAGGCUAUGUCAAAUUACAGUGACAUAGUCUUUAAUGCAAAAGUGCAGAAAGAGAGAGCUGUUAAAUCAGCAAGCGGCCAGACAACCGUCGGGAUAGAUCCACAGGUGAAGCGGAUUGAUUCCUCUGCUUUCAGCUACUAAAUCUAUCCUACAUAC